UACGGGGGGGGCAAGCGUUGUUCGGAAUUACUGGGCGUAAAGGGCUCGUAGGCGGCCAACUAAGUCGGACGUGAAAUCCCCAGGCUCAACCUGGGAACUGCGUCCGAUACUGGAUGGCUUGAAUCCGGGAGAGGGAUGCAGAAUUCCAGGUGUAGCGGUGAAAUGCGUAGAUAUCUGGAGGAAUACCGGUGGCGAAGGCGGCAUCCUGGACCGAUAUUGACACUGAUGAGCGAAAGCUAGGGGAGCAAACGGG
rnacentral:rRNA from 1 species